CAUGAAGUCGGAAUUGCUAGUAAUCGCGGAUCAGCAUGCCGCGGUGAAUACGUUCCCGGGCCUUGUACACACCGCCCGUCACACCAUGGGAGUUGGUAACACCCGAAGUCAGUAGCCUAACCGCAAGGAGGGCGCUGCCGAAGGUGGGAUCGAUGACUGGGGUGAAGUCGUAACAAGGUACC
rnacentral:rRNA from 1 species